GCCGAUAUAGCUCAGUUGGUAGAGCAACUGAUUCGUAAUCAGUAGGUCGGGUGUUCGAUUCACCCUAUCGGCACCA
rnacentral:tRNA from 1 species